rnacentral:miRNA from 2 species
CUUUUAGGGGCAGCUGUGUUUUAUUAACCCAGUCAUAAUGCCCCUAAAAAUCCUUAUUGCUCUUGCAAU